rnacentral:rRNA from 1 species
AAGGAAGGCAGCAGGCGCGUAAAUUACCCAAUCCUAAUUCAGGGAGGUAGUGACAAGAAAUAACAACUCGGACCUCACUUGAGGUUACGGGAUUGCAAUGAGAACAAUUUAAACCACUUAUCGAGCAACAAUUGGAGGGCAAGUCUGGUGCCAGCAGCCGCGGUAAUUCCAGCUCCAAUAGCGUAUAUUAAAGUUGUUGCAGUUAAAAAGCUCGUAGUUGAAUUUCUGGCCAGCGUUGCGUCUGGCUCUCUGAGUCGGCGUACUCGCUUGGUCAUCCGUAUGGGAAGCCUGCUCGGCCUUCACUGGUCGGCUGGUGGAUCAU